UUCUUUGAUGCUGUGAAAGAUGCAUGGUGCUUGUUUCCGACGAGGAAGACAGGCCGGUCGCGAGGCCUCGAGGUUUAGUUUCCAUUCUCAGAUAGCGGGCCACAGAAUCACUGGCUCGGCAGCUGCACUCUUAAAAGUACAAAAAAUACAGCCUCGAUUGAUUUCUUCAGGGUUGAGGGGAUCAAAACCCCUCUCUUCUUUUUAAGGAGCCCUGUGAUUUCCUCUACAAUGACUCAGCAACAUGGGAUCAGUAAGUUGUCACUUCUCCGGUGGCCUUAGAGUAGAAGGAAGUUUGCUUCAGCCACACCAGGUGGCAGUAUGACUCGAGCCUGUAAGGACACGGAACAGGACAAAAUGACUAAUAUCCUUGAUGAGCGGCUGAAUCAAUCUGCCAUGGCUCUUGAGCAAUCAAGGGGCAGCUCAACCCUGGCAUUGUCUCCUGAGGAAGGAUUUCAUCAGAGCGUGCCUGGUUCCCAUGCAGGCAGCGAGAAUUGGUGGGAUCACCAAGUGGCAAACAGCUAUCACCAAAUUCUCAAUGUCAUUCGUCAUCAUCCACUGCCCUUCACGCAGAUCCAUUGACUUAUCAUCCCUGGGCAAGGACUCGAAGGCUGCCAUCCUGAAACCAAAAGGUCAAGGCUUUCCAGGAAGUGGGAGGGUUCUGCUCAUUAAGAGCUCACUGAGGCCGAGCAUAGCUUGGAAAAUUUAAUUUGAACAAAAUCAGUCCUGUACUCAAUGAGAAUUCCUGCCCCAGAGAUAGGACAAGGGCCAUCUGCCCCUCAAAGGUAUUAAAAUCCACAGUAUAAUAAAAAGUAGUAGAAUUUUCUCAUCUCAAACACAAGUAUGGUAGAUUUAGAACAUGGAGACAAUGGAUUAUGAGUGUACAUUUUGACAUCUUUUGUCUCCAAACAUUAAAAUUCAAUGGACCUAAUAUAGUAGUAAAAAUUCCACUCACAAGGGACAAGAAGUGUGACAUCAGUAAGAUGAUAUAGAAAUGCAGUUUGUUCCGUUAGUGGCCAGCAGUGGGAACCAAACGCGUUAGUGAUUUAGAAUCCAUUCCCUGUGUGUUUAUAUGUGUACUUUGUAGUAAAAAAUGCACAAAAAACAGAAACACUUUUUCAUUGGGGUAAGUAAUUUUACUUGAGUGUCUUUCUAUAGUUGUAAGUCACACACACACACGCAUGCACAAACUCACAAACACAAACAGCAUAUUUGCUCUGCUUGACUAUACAGACUGCAAUAAAAUCCAUCUUCGCUGCUUCUGAAUUCAGCUCACAUAGCCCUCGCAUAGGCUCCAAGGAGGUUCAAGCUGCUCUGAAAUAGUCAUCAUGAUCCAUUACACUCAGCUCCUUGCAGCUUUUGUUCCCAGUUGUCUGUGAUACUAUGAUGUGGAAGAAAAUUUAAAAUAGAUCUUGACCUUGUACAGGAUGGGGUUAGAAUUGCACUCGUUCAAAAUAUACUUAGAAUUACCGUCAGAAUAUAACUGAAUAAUCCAGGGCAAAAGUAAUAUUUUUAAAAUGGAUAUAUUAAAUUAAUAUUACUUCUUUAUUGAAAGAGGUACCUUAGAAGAAAAAAAAUGCUUUUUGGGAUUCUGGGUUGGUUUGCAGGGGAAAGUAGAAAACUCAAGCUGAUAAUUUAAGGACUAUAGGCUUACUGAAAAAAUAUAUAUCCCGGGAGCAAAACAAUUUUGCUUAAGUGUACAGUUAAAACUUGUUUUAGCAUUUGAUGAGGUGGUUCACACAUGUAAUCUUAUGUGAAACCAGGAGGCUGAAACAGCAGAAUCUCCAUAAAUUUCAGGCAAUCUUGGGCUACUCUGUCUAAAAAUAUCUACCCUAAAAUUACUUUAAAUUUUAAUUUUGUAAUGUUUAUGGUAUAUAUGUGUGUAUAUGUUCAUGCAUGUAUGUCAGUGCACGUGUGUGUGUGUGUGUGUGUGUGUGUGUGUGUGUGUGUGUGCACAUGCCUAGGGAAGCCACAACUCAAAGUCAAAUGUCUUCCUCAGUUGGCUUUCCACUUAUUUUUUGAAACAGAACAUAACUGAAUCUGGAGGUGACUAAUUUGUUUAGACUGGAUAGCCAACAUAGCCAUCAAAGCCUAGGGAGCUUCUUGUCUCUGCCUCGCAGCACUGGGAGUACAGGUUGAGCUGCCAGGCCUGGCUUUACAUGGUUCUGGGGACUGAAUUCAGGUCCUUAUGCCUAUACAGUAAGUGCUUCACCAACUGAGCCCUCUCCCUGGUCUCUCAGAUUUACUUAUUAGAAACUGCAUCCAUUCAUUUAGGCUCUCUAUUUUGACUCACUUUCAUUUCUAAACAAUGAGAAAGAUGCCACAUGUUAUUUCAGAUGUUUAGAAUGGAACCAUUCUCUUGUUGGAGAUUGUAAAAUCAUAGGUAAAGAUUUACUUUGUCAACAGACCAAAGAAAAGAUAACACAUAAUCCAUAUUCAGAAUCCCCCACUUAAUUAUAAAAGACAAAGCAGGACUUGGUAUGGCACUUAGUUUAUAGACUACUUGUCUGACAUGAGAAGGCUCAUGUGAGGCACGAGGAUCAGCACCUGAAAGCCAUUUCCCACUGAGUCUGAGGCCAGCCUGGGCUAUAUGAGGCUCUGUCUCCCUUUCCAAUUUGUAUCCCCUUGAUCUCCUUUUGUUGUCUUAUUGCUCUAGCCAGAACUUCGAGUUCUAUAUUGAACAGAUAUGAAGACAGUGGACAGCCUUGUCUUGUUCUGAUUUUAGUGGGGUCACUUUGAGUUUCUCUCCAUUUAGUUUGAUGUUGGCUGUUGGCUGCUGUAUAUUGCCUUUAUUAUGUUUAGGAAUGUUCUUUACUCAUUGCUUGUUUUCGAGACAGGAGAGAUGGUGUAAGCCAGUAAGAGAGCUUAGCAUGUAAAGUAAGGAACCCGAGUUAAGAUAUCUAGUACCAAAUAAAAGCUGGACUUGGGAACUAGCUUGUCUGUAACUCCAGCACUCAUUGUGGGUGGGGAGCAGAACUGAGGUAGGCAGAUGUCCUGAAUGUCUGGCUACCUAGUCUAGCCAAAUCUGUGAGCUCCAAGAUCAAUGAGAUAUCCAGUCUCAAAAAAUAAGGUAAAGACAUUGGAAGACACUGGACAUUGACUUCUGGCCUCCACAUGUGCAUGUGUGACAGAGAGACAGACAGAGAGACAGACAGACAGACAGACACACACACACACACACACACAGAGAGAGAGAGAGAGAGAGAGAGAGAGAGAGAGAGAGAGAGAGAGAGAGAAGCAUAUAGUAGAUCAAACUGAAUGUGGUUUGAUGGUUUGAUUCAGGAUAGAGUGGUGGGAAACAGCUCCAUCUAUUGAUGUUUUUGCUGGCUUUCUGUCAUCUCCAAAGAUGCACUAUGUAACUCCUAAGACAUCUUAGCGCAGAAUAAAUAGAAAUCCAAAGAGCGCUGAUGACUUGCCUAGGACCAUGAAGUCACUUAGUACAGCGCCAGAGCUUCUUAGGCACUACUUACAAGCUCACUAUCUCCUUCCCUUUCCCAUCAGAUAGCUGGUUUAUCUGAAGCUCUCUAGGACCCUCUGGUAUCUCCUUUUAUGCUCCCCCACUUGCAGAAUAUAGUCUACUUUGCACUGUUUAUAACUGGCUUCUGAGACCCUAUUCGCAAUUAAGUCAAACAUUCUUUAUAGGUUCAUUUAAAGUUCCUUGUAAGCUUAACCCUGUUUAUCAAUUCAAAGCUGAUGUGUCAGUGAUCCCUACAGCAUCUAUAAGCUCCUCAAAUACCACAGCUCUUUCUAAUCUGUCUCUCAAGGUUCAAGUCAGGAUUACUGAAGUCUGUUCUGACAUUACUGAUUUGUGGUCACUAAUUUUAAUUUUUGAAGGAUUAUUUUUUUGCCUUGUUUUUUUAUUGAUUUUAUUGAGGUAUAUGUCUGUGCUCUCCUCCCUGCCUCUCCCCUCCCCUUCAACUCUCUCCCAUGGUCCUCAUGGGCCCAGUUUACUCAGGAGAUCUUGUCCUUU